GUCCACUUGGGCUAAAAGCCGGUGUUAGGUUGCAUCGCAGUAGCAUCUGCCUAAUAGAUAUUGCAGAGUCUGAACACAAAUGGGCUUCUCUUAGUGUAUGCCGUAUCACUUCACACCGCUCACAGUUUCCUGCCAUUGAUCAAGCCCCACCUAUUCAGCUGAUGGGCCAGAGGAGAAACCCGAUCACCUAACAAGAAAGAAGCAGAGGAGAGAGGAAGGAGAAAAUGAGAGAAAUGCCUGGACAUCCACGAAGGGCUUCUGCACAGCACUGCGACUAAUACGGGGUUUCCAGAGGAAUUGGGUUUAGCGUCUCUUAAAGUAUGGACUGAUGAGAGACUGUGACCAGUACAUCCAUCUUGUGUUCCCAAAGACUAGAGAGCUGAAUCUGGGUGAGGUCAAUACUGCCUUACUCUCUAUGGGUUAAAGCUGCCUGUGUGAGUGACUAGCGGCAGCUCUAUAAAGGCUUGUGAGAUUGUGCAGGAAAUAGAGGAAACUGGAGUCUAAGGGAGACUGGGAGACAGAGGCCACAGCAGAGCA